UUGGAGGGCAAGUCUGGUGCCAGCAGCCGCGGUAAUUCCAGCUCCAAUAGCGUAUAUUAAAGUUGUUGCAGUUAAAAAGCUCGUAGUUGAAUUUCGGGAUCAAUGUUUCGGUCAUGCCGUUGGUAUGUACUGAUAUUAUUGAUUUCUCACCUUCUAAAGAACCGUAAUGCCAUUAAUUUGGUGUCACGGGGAAUUAGGACUGUUACCUUGAAAAAAUUAGAGUGUUUAAAGCAGGCUCACGCUUGAAUACAUUAGCAUGGAACAAUGAAAUAGGACAUCCGAUUCUAUUUUGUUGGUUUCUAGGAUCGAUGUAAUGAUUAAUAGGGAUAGUUGGGGGCAUUAGUAUUCAAUUGUCAGAGGUGAAAUUCUUGGAUUUAUUGAAGACUAACUACUGCGAAAGCAUUUGCCAAGGAUGUUUUCAUUAAUCAAGAACGAAAGUUAGGGGAUCGAAGACGAUCAGAUACCGUCGUAGUCUUAACCAUAAACUAUGCCGACUAGGGAUCGGAUGAUGUUAAUUUUUUAAUGACUCAUUCGGCGCCUUACGGGAAAC
rnacentral:rRNA from 1 species